GAUGAACGCUAGCGGCAGGCUUAACACAUGCAAGUCGAGGGGCAGCGGGAGGAGGUAGCAAUACCACCUUGCCGGCGACCGGCGCACGGGUGAGUAACACGUAUGGAACCUGCCCGCCACAGGGGGAUAACCGGUAGAAAUGCCGACUAAUACCCCGUAUGCCCACAGGGGCGCAUGCCCUGGUGGGGAAACAUUCAUGGGUGGCGGAUGGCCAUGCGGCGCAUUAGCUAGUUGGCGGGGUAACGGCCCACCAAGGCGACGAUGCGUAGGGGUUCUGAGAGGAAGGUCCCCCACAUUGGUACUGAGACACGGACCAAACUCCUACGGGAGGCAGCAGUGAGGAAUAUUGGUCAAUGGGCGAGAGCCUGAACCAGCCAAGUCGCGUGAGGGAUGACGGUCCUAACGGAUUGUAAACCUCUUUUGUCGGGGAACAACAGGGGGCACGCGUGCCUUUGUGAGUGUACCCGAAGAAAAAGCAUCGGCUAACUCCGUGCCAGCCGCCGCCGUAAG
rnacentral:rRNA from 1 species